rnacentral:rRNA from 1 species
CCUACGGGAGGCAGCAGUGGGGAAUUUUGGACAAUGGGCGAAAGCCUGAUCCAGCAAUGCCGCGUGAGUGAAGAAGGCCUUCGGGUUGUAAAGCUCUUUUGUCAGGGAAGAAACGGUGAGAGCUAAUAUCUCUUGCUAAUGACGGUACCUGAAGAAUAAGCACCGGCUAACUACGUGCCAGCAGCCGCGGUAAUACGUAGGGUGCAAGCGUUAAUCGGAAUUACUGGGCGUAAAGCGUGCGCAGGCGGUUUUGUAAGUCUGAUGUGAAAUCCCCGGGCUCAACCUGGGAAUUGCAUUGGAGACUGCAAGGCUAGAAUCUGGCAGAGGGGGGUAGAAUUCCACGUGUAGCAGUGAAAUGCGUAGAUAUGUGGAGGAACACCGAUGGCGAAGGCAGCCCCCUGGGUCAAGAUUGACGCUCAUGCACGAAAGCGUGGGGAGCAAACAGGAUUAGAUACCCUGGUAGUCCACGCCCUAAACGAUGUCUACUAGUUGUCGGGUCUUAAUUGACUUGGUAACGCAGCUAACGCGUGAAGUAGACCGCCUGGGGAGUCGGUCGCAAGNUUAAAACUUAAGAGUAGUGCGNGNGAGAGNGACGAGACGACGAGGAGGAGGNG